rnacentral:tRNA from 1 species
GGUUCCGUGGCUCAAUGGGAUAGAGUAUCGGUUUUCUAAACCGGGGAGUAGAGGUUCGAGUCCUCUCGGGAUCA